UACGAAGGGGGCUAGCGUUGCUCGGAAUUACUGGGCGUAAAGGGCGCGUAGGCGGAUAGUUUAGUCAGAUGUGAAAGCCCCGGGCUUAACCUGGGAAUUGCAUUUGAUACUCUGGAGCUUGAGUACGGGAGAGGAGAGUGGAAUUCCCAGUGUAGAGGUGAAAUUCGUAGAUAUUGGGAAGAACACCGGUGGCGAAGGCGGCUCUCUGGACCGUAACUGACGCUGAGGCGCGAAAGCGUGGGGAGCAAACAGG
rnacentral:rRNA from 1 species